GAAAGUAGGAAAGGGCGCAUGGCGGAUGCCUUGGCUCUCGGAGGCGAUGAAGGACGUGAUAAGCUGCGAUAAGUCACGGGGAGGUGCAAAUAACCUUUGAUCCGUGAAUCUCCGAAUGGGACAACCCGAUAUCCUGAAGGGAUAUCACCUCAUCUAGUUGAGGAGCUAACGCAGGGAACUGAAACAUCUUAGUACCUGCAGGAAAAGAAAAUAACAAUGAUUCCCCCAGUAGUGGCGAGCGAACGGGGAAGAGCCCAAACCAUUCAUGUUACGGCAUGGAUGGGGUUGUAGGACCACGGCGUUGCAAGAGAUCUUGUGAGAAGAACAGCCUGGAAAGACUGACCACAGACGGUGACAGUCCGGUAUUCGAAGCAAGACGAAGCAUAGUGGUAUCCUGAGUAGCGCGGAACACGAGGAAUUCUGCGUGAAUCUGCCGGGACCAUCCGGUAAGGCUAAAUACUCCCGAGAGACCGAUAGUGGACCAGUACCGUGAGGGAAAGGUGAAAAGCACUUCGAACAGAAGAGUGAAAGAGUACCUGAAACCGUGCGCCUACAAGCGGUCGGAGCACGAAAGUGUGACGGCGUGCCUUUUGCAUAAUGAACCUACGAGUUACCGUAUCUGGCAAGGUUAAGGGUCACGAGACCUGCAGCCGAAGCGAAAGCGAGUCUGAAGAGGGCGUCGAGUCAGUUGCGGUAGACGCGAAACCAAGUGAUCUACCCUUGGCCAGGAUGAAGUCUGGGUAACACCAGAUGGAGGUCCGCACCAAUAAGCGUUGAAAAGCUUCUGGAUGAGCUGAGGGUAGGGGUGAAAGGCUAAUCAAACUUGGAGAUAGCUCGUACUCCCCGAAAUGCAUUUAGGUGCAGCCUUGCGGGUUACUGAUGUGAGGUAGAGCGACUGAUAAGAUGCGAGGGCUUCACCGCCUAUCAAGUCUUGACAAACUCCGAAUGCGCAUCAGUUCUACCGCAGGAGUGAGGGCAUGGGUGCUAAGGUCCGUGCCCGAGAGGAGAAGAAUCCGGACCACCUGCUAAGGUCCCGAAAUGACAGCUAAGUUAAACUAACGAAGUCUGACUGCUAAGACAGCUAGGAUGUUGGCUUGGAAGCAGCCAUUCAUUUAAAGAGUGCGUAACAGCUCACUAGUCGAGGAGUUUGGCGUGGAUAAUAAUCGGGUAUCAAGCUGUUUACCGAAGCAGUGGGAUCAUAUAAUGAUCGGUAGGGGAGCAUUCCACUCUGCGUCGAAGGUGGGGCGUGAGCCCUGCUGGAGCGUGUGGAAAAGCAAAUGUAGGUAUAAGUAACGAUAAAGGGGGUGAGAAACCCCCUCGCCGCAAGACUCAGGUUUCCUGAUCAACGUUAAUCGGAUCAGGGUCAGUCGGGUCCUAAGGCUCAGCCGAACGGCGAGGCCGAUGGCAGAACCGGUUAAUAUUCCGGUACUACCCUUUGGGGUGAUGUGGAGACGCAGUCGUGACAAUGCCGCCAGCUGACGGAAUAGCUGGUUAAAGGGUGUAGAAGUUGAUUGUGGCAGGCAAAUCCACCACAAGAUUCGAACCUGACAGUAUGGAGCGUCCUUCCGGACAAUCCAAUAGUGCAUGUAAUCAUACUGCCAAGAAAAUCCGCUAAACAUAACCUUCAGGGUACCCGUACCGCAAACGGACACACGUAGUCGGGUUGAAUAUACUAAGGCGCUUGAGUGAUUCACGGUUAAGGAACUAGGCAAAUUAACCCUGUAACUUCGGGAAAAAGGGUCCCUACCCGUUAGCGGGAGGGCGCAGAGAAUCGGUCCAGGCAACUGUUUAACAAAAACACAGGGCUGUGCGAAGUCGAAAGACGCUGUAUACAGCCUGACACCUGCCCGGUGCUGGAAGGUUAAGAGGAGAUGUCAUCGCAAGAGAAGCAUUGAAUUGAAGCCCCAGUAAACGGCGGCCGUAACUAUAACGGUCCUAAGGUAGCGAAAUUCCUUGUCGGGUAAGUUC
rnacentral:rRNA from 1 species